AAAAGUUUUUUCCACUUUUUCGUGGCUUUGAAAGAAAAGAUGUCGGAAGUAAUAAAUUAUCCCAUCGGUCCAAGAACGUUCGGUAGGUGUUAUACACCGAUCCGAGAGAGACAGCAAAUGGAAGGGAUAAAAUAAAGCUUCAAACAUGAUCACUUUUAAACCAAAAUUAUGAAGUAUUAUAAAUCGAGAAUUUUUUUUCUUUUUUGAAAUAUCAUAGUAAACACUUCAAAGAAUGUCCAUGACUUACUUUAAUGUAAAUUUUAUACCUAUGGUCGGCACAGUCAGACCUAAUAUGAGUGUGAUUUUGAGCAUAUUUGCGAUUUUAUUAGAGCAAAACAAGUCAUCUUUUCUCCAAUUUUAUAAGUUCCGGACACUAAUAGCAUAUCAAAGAUAUUGUAAAAAAAAAAUUGGGUUCAGAUUCCAACUAGUUGUCUAGUAUUUGUGAAACAAAAUCUACUGUAAAUUCACUGAAAACUAAACCGAUAACAUCACCUUAACGGUUUGUUACGAACAGAAGUCUUUUUUAGCAAAUCCGUCUGCUCUUGGCAAAUAUUAUCGAGGACAGGUUUAAUUGCCAUUUGAAUGAACAUGCAACACACAUUGUCAUGAUCAGAGCAAGGAAAAAUUGGAUUUCUCUUCACGUAAGGGUAAAUAGCGUGCAAAAUUGUUUGCAGGCGUUCUCACAUUUUAAGAAGGGUAACAUUUCUUGAGCUAUGUCCGCAAGUCUUUUAACAAGUCCCACGAAAACUUCAUUUGGAUAUACCAGACCUCAUCGAUCUUGAAGUAGAAUUAAUUUGAGAAGAGGUCCGGGAAUUGUGUUGGAAAGUAGUGGUUGAAGGCAUACAUCACAGUGAGUUCUAUCAUCUAUUUUUUUGAGUAUAUACCCCGCCAAGAAAGCCACUGAAGCAGAGUAAAUACUACUUUCCGGUAUAAUGUUUGAGCAUAAUGCAUGAAUUUUGACCUGUAGUUCAAAAGAGUCAGCACAUUUAACAAGCCCACAUCGCAAGAUCUGACGCAAAGCAUAUUCUGCGGUUCUCGCAUCUGUUGCAUCAUUUGAACCACCUCUGAGACGUACAUGAGAAAACAUUGCUUCCACUGCAUCUGAGCGAAUGAUCUGGUUAAUACAUAGUAAAAUCCCACUUGUUCAAGUAGAAAUUUGACACAGAGAUAAUCCGUGCAGGCCAGCCUUUAAAGAACUGUUUUGUACGUCAUCAAUGAAAUUUUGAAACGUUACAUUUAACCAGUGAAGUCGCUCGUCUGAAAUAUGUACAUAUGGUGCUACUGUACUAUCCAAUGAAUGUAUGUAGUGGGACGUACUUGAAACAUUAUGGAAUUGAAAAAAAUGGUACAUAUGUUUCAUGUACGAAAUGGUACUCUCAACAUUCAUGAAUCGUUCGUCCCCAGUGUCCUUUAAAAAUUUCAAAGAUGAGGUAACUGCUGGAGAAAAUAUCUGUAUAGCUCUCAGUACGUUCAUCUUCUCGAAACUGAAAAAAAAGGAUGGGGAAUUAAAUUUUGAAGAGAACCAUGGCAUAUUUUUUUUUAAAGGGCGGUAUUUGACGACAUGUUGUCAGUUACAAGCCUCAAAACGAUGAAUCCACAGUUCGUCAAAGUUCUUAAAACGUCCAUUGUUAAGGUAUAAAAAUCACUCGUUGUUAGCGAAGCAUGGAAGUAGUACCCUGCUGGUAUUGUGAAUUUUGUUGACAACCCAUGUAUAACGAAACAUAGCAUUUUAUUGGCUAACAUCAUCUAGUCCAUAGAUAUGAUCCUCUGAUCUGCUAUAUAUCAUUUUCUCCUUGAUUGACAUGUCGUCAACAAUGAGUGAACAGAUUCGCUCAAUGGGUGUUUUAAAGUAUGGCAAUUUCAGCACACAGACGUUGUUGAAUAAGGGCGUUUUGUCCUUGAUAUUCACCGAGAUACCGCGACAAGGUACUUUUGCUCGGAAGUUUAACCAGAUUAUUAUGGCAGAAUCGAUACCCUUUUGGUGAACAGAACCUCCAAACAGUACACAAUCGAAUGGACAUUUCAGACCACCUUGGAGUCUUUUUCGAAAAAUUUUUGAUAAUGUCGGUCAAAAAAAUAGCUCUGUCGUCUCCACUUUCGGCUUUGUUAAAUAUUUUGUUAACCAUUUGCACUUUGUUUUUAUUUUUAUUUUUUUCUU